rnacentral:lncRNA from 1 species
AAGGGGCUUUGGUUAUGAAGCUGCCAAACUUACCUAAGGAUGGUAAAGUCAAUAAGUUUGACUUUAUUUCAGGUAGCAAUUGUGAUAAAGCCAAACUUACCUAAGGAUGGUAAAGUCAAUAAGUUUGACUUUAUUUCAGGUAAAGUCCAUUGUCUAACUCUAUUAAGUUCCUACUUGGAGAUUCUUAUUACAUGAUGUGGCUGGGUCAGAUGUUGAUGUUUUAAGAAUCAAAGAAAAGUAAAGAAACUUAAAGGAAGUAUAUGUUGAUUCUGAUCGCGAAGAUGGAUCGCAUGGUUCGGUGAUCAGAAUUUUGAGCAUGUGCUUAAGAGUUAUGAUAGAUUGCUUAGGAAUAGAUGACAACAAGUUUUCAUAUACAUUUGCAUUGUAAGGAUUAGUUUUUCCGCAAAGUUUUAAAAUAAAAGAAAAGUUUUUAAUUUUAUUUAUUUUAAAAUAUCCUUACAAUGGCAUUUGUAGAAAAAGGAAAAGAUGUUGCUUAUAUGAUUCCAUUGAUAGCAAUAUUGGAAAUAUGAAUUUGAUUCUUUCAUUUGUGGUAGUGUCUAAAUUUACCAAAUAAGGAAAGAUUCUCAUCACCCAAGUUUCAGUUGGAUAGAAACUUGGAAUCAUGCAAGUUGUAUAGUAUGAUGAAUGAGAACUUUCGAGCAUUGGAAAAUUAAGACUAACUGCUUGUUCACAUGGAUGUG